rnacentral:rRNA from 1 species
UACGGAGGGUGCAAGCGUUAUCCGGAUUUACUGGGUUUAAAGGGUGCGCAGGCGGAUAUGUAAGUCAGUGGUGAAAUCUCCAGGCUUAACCUGGAAAUUGCCGUUGAUACUAUAUAUCUUGAAUGCUGUGGAGGUAAGCGGAAUAUGUCAUGUAGCGGUGAAAUGCUUAGAUAUGACAUAGAACACCUAUUGCGAAGGCAGCUUACUACGCAGAUAUUGACGCUCAUGCACGAAAGCGUGGGGAGCAAACAGG